CGGAGCUUGCUCCACCGGAAAAAGAAGAGUGGCGAACGGGUGAGUAACACGUGGGUAACCUGCCCAUCAGAAGGGGAUAACACUUGGAAACAGGUGCUAAUACCGUAUAACAAUCGAAACCACAUGGUUUUGAUUUGAAAGGCGCUUUCGGGUGUCGCUGAUGGAUGGACCCGCGGUGCAUUAGCUAGUUGGUGAGGUAACGGCUCACCAAGGCCACGAUGCAUAGCCGACCUGAGAGGGUGAUCGGCCACAUUGGGACUGAGACACGGCCCAAACUCCUACGGGAGGCAGCAGUAGGGAAUCUUCGGCAAUGGACGAAAGUCUGACCGAGCACGGCCGCGUGAGUGAAGAAGGUUUUCGGAUCGUAAAACUCUGUUGUUAGAGAAGAACAAGGAUGAGAGUAACUGUUCAUCCCUUGACGGUAUGUAACCAGAAAGCCACGGCUAACUACGUGCCAGCAGCCGCGGUAAUACGUAGGUGGCAAGCGUUGUCCGGAUUUAUUGGGCGUAAAGCGAGGGCAGGCGGUUUCUUAAGUCUGAUGUGAAAGCCCCCGGCUCAACCGGGGAGGGUCAUUGGAAACUGGGAGACUUGAGUGCAGAAGAGGAGAUUGGAAUUCCAUGUGUAGCGGUGAAAUGCGUAGAUAUAUGGAGGAACACCAGUGGCGAAGGCGGCUCUCUGGUCUGUAACUGACGCUGAGGCUCCAAAGCGUGGGGAGCAAACAGGAUUAGAUACCCUGGUAGUCCACGCCGUAAACGAUGAGUGCUAAGUGUUGGAGGGUUUCCGCCCUUCAGUGCUGCAGCUAACGCAUUAAGCACUCCGCCUGGGGAGUACGACCGCAAGGUUGAAACUCAAAGGAAUUGACGGGGGCCCGCACAAGCGGUGGAGCAUGUGGUUUAAUUCGAAGCAACGCGAAGAACCUUACCAGGUCUUGACAUCCUUUGACCACUCUAGAGAUAGAGCUUCCCCUUCGGGGGCAUUGUGACAGGUGGUGCAUGGUUGUCGUCAGCUCGUGUCGUGAGAUGUUGGGUUAAGUCCCGCAACGAGCGCAACCCU
rnacentral:rRNA from 1 species